GAUUUCGCGCCCGCGCUUUAGUUGGAAUUUGGGGUGGGGGAAAGGGUGCUAGGGUUAGUUGUCUCUGGAGACCUGGGCUCCGUCCAGAUCGGGGCGGCUGGCCUCGUGGGUCUCCACGCGGUAGAAUUGCUGGCGACAUAUGGCCAUCACUAGCUCCUGCCUCGUCGCAGGCUGGGUUGGUCGUGUAUCGCCAACUCCGUAUAGUUGUUUGGCAUCUGUUUCAGGCUUGAAUGGGGGCAGUACAACCCACCCUGCCCCGCUAAUCGCAUGGAAAUGGACGCAGCGUAUGCUAUUCUGUGCGAGGUUGCCAGGGUUAGGUCGAUUUCUGUAUGUACAAUUGACAAGCAAAGGCGCUAGUACUUGUUUACUGCAACAACACAAUUAAUUAACCAACAUACAUGCAUACUUGGCUUGAGAAAAUACGGAUGCGUGUGGAAACCUGCGGAAGACAAACUAAAUGUAGCCAUUAGCUAUGUUGCUAGGUGCCAAACAGAAGAAAUGACUAUUUUAGAGGUUUGGAGCUGGGGUAUCUUACUUAGCACCAUGUGUAAUUGUUUUACAGCACUGACUUAAUCAUGUUUGCUGCUGCUACGACAUAUGGAGAAUAAUUUAGGCACCAUAAGCAAAUGGACAUAAUAAAAGGUUCAGAACAAUAUGACCCCACAAUUAAGAAUAGUAUGCAAGAACUUAAACAGUUGUAUGCUCCCAAUUAAGCAUAGAUGCAAUAAUAGUUCAAUAAUAAUCAAAUAUGCUUGCACUCAUAAACAGAACAAUUUAUUUAUAAAGAUGUAAGUACAUAUAGGCUGAUGAUAAUUUGUACAUCACAUCAUCUAAAAGAAUAAAAAUGCAGAAGGGGAAGGAGAGAGAAAUUGGCACUUCAUCACUUCGCUGUGUAUUGUAUCUUAUUUAAUAUUUUCGUCAUGGCAAAAAAACAACCAAACUGAUGUUAUAGUUUCUGAAUUCACAAUGGAUACAUGGCAGCUGCUACAUGCAAAUAAGUGAAAGAUGUGCACUUCAGAAGAAAAAAAAACUGAUGUUAUAGUUUCUGAAUUCAUAAUGGAUGUCCUGUGUCUUGCACUUUAGAAAUAGGUAAUUAGAAAUGAUUAGAUUUACAGCCAAGUCUAUAGGGAUUUCACAUUUGGUGGUCCAUUAAGUGAGCUUUCGAUGCCAUCGUGCAGCACGCGUGGUUUUGGUUCGAUUCUAACCAAUUGCAUUUUGUUACAUGGAAUUUACGAGAAGUACAAGGACCAGGGGAUGAUCUAUCUGCGUAUGAUUAGUCCUUGAUUUUGAGUUACGAUAUGUUAUGCUAACAAUUUUAUGGGACUACAGGUUUUGAGAUCUUUGCUUUCCCAUGCAACCAGUUUGGUGGGCAGGAACUUGGCAUUGAUAAGGAAAUUGUUCAGAUUGCUUGCAUGCCGAGUAUCUGAUUUCUGACAAGGGUUCUGGUAGCGACGAUGACGGUCGUCGAGAGGUUCGUGGACUGGACGGUGCCGUGGCUGCCGAUGUACAGAGAAGCGAAGCUGCUGCUCGUUCUCUACCUCUGUCACCCCAGCACACGGAGUGCGGGGAGCGGGGCACAUGUACGAUGGCUUCCUCCGUCCGCUGGUGGCGAGGCACAAGGACGACAUCGACCGGUCCAGUUGGAGCUGAGGGCCAGAGCGAGGGACGUGACUGCGUCGCAACUCAAGGCGGCGGCUGCCGUCAGUCAGGUGUGGCUCUUCGAGGCUAUCCAAUGUGUCUCGUCGCAGCUGUAGGCCGCGAGAUCAGGCCGGGCAGGCGCCGCACAUUGACGAGUGGUCCAAUUUUCAGAUCGGGCCAUAACAACUUACUUAGGUAGUUGCUUAUGUAACUGUGCGAUAGAAUGGAAUUAUACAUGAGUUGCUGCUACAAGGAGGAACGUAGUUGCUUAUGUAACUGUGCGAUAGAAUGAAAUUAUACAUGAGUUGCUGCUACAA